UACGUAGGGUGCAAGCGUUGUCCGGAAUUAUUGGGCGGAAAGAGCUCGUAGGCGGUUUGUCGCGUCUGCUGUGAAAACCCGAGGCUCAACCUCGGGCCUGCAGUGGGUACGGGCAGACUAGAGUGCGGUAGGGGAGAUUGGAAUUCCUGGUGUAGCGGUGGAAUGCGCAGAUAUCAGGAGGAACACCAAUGGCGAAGGCAGAUCUCUGGGCCGUAACUGACGCUGAGGAGCGAAAGCAUGGGGAGCGAACAGG
rnacentral:rRNA from 1 species